GGGUGUAUAGCUCAGUUGGUAGAGCAUUGGGCUUUUAACCUAAUGGUUGCAGGUUCAAGUCCUGCUAUACCCA
rnacentral:tRNA from 1 species